GCCAAAUGUUGGCAGCGCUGCUCACAAAAAGUUGUCUUGCGAAUGAAGUUCCGUUCAUCUUUCUUUCGUUCUUUAACCGUCUUCGUGUGAAGAAAGAAAAAUGAGAGCUAAGUGGCGUAAGAAGCGUAUGCGGAGGUUGAAGCGUAAACGCAGGAAGAUGCGCGCAAGGUCCAAAUAAACUCGUUGACGGCAUUGAAGAAUGUUUUUUACACGCUUCAACCUGACAUCCCAUUAAAAAGCUUCAAGUAAAAAUUCGCUACCAAAUUUUUGGGCGCGUUUCGGAAAGUUUACAUUAAAGUGUAAAUUGUUUGAAAUAAAGAAUUUCUUUAAAUUUUUGCUGGAGGUGAAAAAAUUAUAAAAAAAA
rnacentral:lncRNA from 1 species